rnacentral:rRNA from 1 species
UAGGGAAUCUUCGGCAAUGGGGGGAACCCUGACCGAGCAACGCCGCGUGAGUGAAGAAGGUUUUCGGAUCGUAAAGCUCUGUUGUUAAGGAAGAACGAGUGUGAGAAUGGAAAGUUCAUACUGUGACGGUACUUAACCAGAAAGGGACGGCUAACUACGUGCCAGCAGCCGCGGUAAUACGGAAGGUCCGGGCGUUAUCCGGAUUUAUUGGGUUUAAAGGGAGCGUAGGCUGUCUAUUAAGCGUGUUGUGAAAUUUACCGGCUCAACCGGUGGCUUGCAGCGCGAACUGGUCGACUUGAGUAUGCAGGAAGUAGGCGGAAUUCAUGGUGUAGCGGUGAAAUGCGUAGAUAUAUGGAGGAACACCGGUGGCGAAAGCGGCUCUCUGGUCUGUAACUGACGCUGAGGCUCGAAAGCGUGGGGAGCGAACAGG